rnacentral:rRNA from 1 species
UACGUAGGGUGCAAGCGUUAAUCGGAAUUACUGGGCGUAAAGCGUGCGCAGGCGGUUAUGUAAGACAGAUGUGAAAUGCCCGGGCUUAACCUGGGAACUGCAUUUGUGACUGCAUGGCUAGAGUUUGGCAGAGGGGGGUAGAAUUCCACGUGUAGCAGUGAAAUGCGUAGAUAUGUGGAGGAACACCGAUGGAGAAGGCAGCCCGCUGGUCAAGACUGACGCUCAUGCACGAAAGCGUGGGGAGCAAACAGG